rnacentral:rRNA from 1 species
AUGAACGCUGGCGGCAUGCUUAACCCAUGCAAGUCGAACGGGAAGUGGUGUUUCCAGUGGCGAACGGGUGAGUAACGCGUAAGAACCUGCCCUUGGGAGGGGAACAACAACUGGAAACGGUUGCUAAUACCCCGUAGGCUGAGGAGCAAAAGGAGAAAUCCGCCCAAGGAGGGGCUCGCGUCUGAUUAGCUAGUUGGUGAGGUAAUAGCUUACCAAGGCGAUGAUCAGUAGCUGGUCCGAGAGGAUGAUCAGCCACACUGGGACUGAGACACGGCCCAGACUCCUACGGGAGGCAGCAGUGGGGAAUUUUCCGCAAUGGGCGAAAGCCUGACGGAGCAAUGCCGCGUGGAGGUGGAAGGCCUACGGGUCGUCAACUUCUUUUCUCGGAGAAGAAACAAUGACGGUAUCUGAGGAAUAAGCAUCGGCUAACUCUGUG